CUCUAUCAUGCAGUCGAGCGAACGGAUAAGGAGCUUGCUCCUUUGAAGUUAGCGGCGGACGGGUGAGUAACACGUGGGUAACCUACCUAUAAGACUGGAAUAACUUCGGGAAACCGGAGCUAAUGCCGGAUAACAUUUGGAACCGCAUGGUUCUAAAGUAAAAGAUGGUUUUGCUAUCACUUAUAGAUGGACCCGCGCCGUAUUAGCUAGUUGGUAAGGUAACGGCUUACCAAGGCAACGAUACGUAGCCAACCUGAGAGGGUGAUCGGCCACACUGGAACUGAGACACGGUCCAGACUCCUACGGGAGGCAGCAGUAGGGAAUCUUCCGCAAUGGACGAAAGUCUGACGGAGCAACGCCGCGUGAGUGAUGAAGGUUUUCGGAUCGUAAAACUCUGUUAUUAGGGAAGAACAAAUGUGUAAGUAACUGUGCACAUCUUGACGGUACCUAAUCAGAAAGCCACGGCUAACUACGUGCCAGCAGCCGCGGUAAUACGUAGGUGGCAAGCGUUAUCCGGAAUUAUUGGGCGUAAAGCGCGCGUAGGCGGUUUCUUAAGUCUGAUGUGAAAGCCCACGGCUCAACCGUGGAGGGUCAUUGGAAACUGGGAAACUUGAGUACAGAAGAGGAAAGUGGAAUUCCAUGUGUAGCGGUGAAAUGCGCAGAGAUAUGGAGGAACACCAGUGGCGAAGGCGACUUUCUGGUCUGUAACUGACGCUGAUGUGCGAAAGCGUGGGGAUCAAACAGGAUUAGAUACCCUGGUAGUCCACGCCGUAAACGAUGAGUGCUAAGUGUUAGGGGGUUUCCGCCCCUUAGUGCUGCAGCUAACGCAUUAAGCACUCCGCCUGGGGAGUACGACCGCAAGGUUGAACUCAAAGGAUUGACGGGGACCCGCAAAGCGGUGGAGCUGUGGUUAAUUCGAAGCACGCGAAAACUUACCAAUCUUGACUCCUUUGAAAUCUAAAGAAGAGC
rnacentral:rRNA from 1 species